rnacentral:rRNA from 1 species
CCCCGGUAAACGGCGGCCGUAACUAUAACGGUCCUAAGGUAGCGAAAUUCCUUGUCGGGUAAGUUCCGACCUGCACGAAUGGCGUAAUGAUGGCCACGCUGUCUCCACCCGAGACUCAGUGAAAUUGAAAUCGCUGUGAAGAUGCAGUGUACCCGCGGCUAGACGGAAAGACCCCGUGAACCUUUACUACAGCUUGGCACUGAACAUUGAACCUACAUGUGUAGGAUAGGUGGGAGGCUAUGAAGACGUGACGCCAGUUGCGUUGGAGCCGUCCUUGAAAUACCACCCUUGUAUGUUUGAUGUUCUAACUUAGACCCAUUAUCUGGGUUGAGGACAGUGCCUGGUGGGUAGUUUGACUGGGGCGGUCUCCUCCCAAAGAGUAACGGAGGAGCACGAAGGUGGGCUAAUCACGGUUGGACAUCGUGAGGUUAGUGCAAUGGCAUAAGCCCGCUUAACUGCGAGAAUGACGGUUCGAGCAGGUGCGAAAGCAGGUCAUAGUGAUCCGGUGGUUCUGUAUGGAAGGGCCAUCGCUCAACGGAUAAAAGGUACUCCGGGGAUAACAGGCUGAUACCGCCCAAGAGUUCAUAUCGACGGCGGUGUUUGGCACCUCGAUGUCGGCUCAUCACAUCCUGGGGCUGAAGUCGGUCCCAAGGGUAUGGCUGUUCGCCAUUUAAAGUGGUACGCGAGCUGGGUUUAGAACGUCGUGAGACAGUUCGGUCCCUAUCUGCCGUGGGCGUUGGAAGAUUGAAGGGGGCUGCUCCUAGUACGAGAGGACCGGAGUGGACGAACCUCUGGUGUUCGGGUUGUGUCGCCAGACGCAUUGCCCGGUAGCUAAGUUCGGAAUUGAUAAGCGCUGAAAGCAUCUAAGCGCGAAGCGAGCCCUGAGA